GACUAAGAAAUCUGAUCAUGUCCAGGCUUUUAACACCCUCCUCCCCCAAGGAACAAUAAAACACACCAGCGAAAACAAAGAGGCUGCCCUGAAAAGGUUGCAGUGGUGGAUGAUACUGGCAGAAUCAGAAAGGAAGCUAAGAGAAACAGGCGCGUCCUCAGCCGGGCCUCGCGUGUCCUGACACUGCAGCAGGCACGGGAUGUGGGCUGUCCCCUCCAGCACAGUGCGGGAAGGUGCUGGGGCAUCCAAACAGCAAAAGCAAACCUGAGACCCCAAAACAACUGCGUCUGGCCCAGGGGAGUGGGCAAAAAUUCCAACAGGGAGAGACCGUCUCUGGCUUAUUUACAGACAGGAAGAAAGCUAUUAGUGCUCCAUGUAAACAAGCACGCCCAAUUCAAGUUGGAACUCUUUAAAUUCUGGAAGACAGCACAUCACAUCCAGCCACGAGGGGGCGCAGCCGAGCAGCAAGGAGCGCAAAAGUCUCAUUCUUCACUGCAAUUUCUACCUACAGCUCUCUCAAAGUAUACACAUUUUCAAGAUUGUUUCCAAAUUCAGGUAUCCACAGGACACUGCUAAGCAAGCUGGGAGCUUUGCCAAGGCCAAAAUAAAUUAAAUUAUGGUACGGUU
ensembl:lncRNA novel transcript